UACCAGCACCCCGAGUGGUCGGGGCGAUUAUUGGGCCUAAAGCGUCCGUAGCCGGCCUUACAAGUCCCCCGUUAAAUCCAACUGCUUAACAGAUGGGCUGCGGAGGAUACUAUAAGACUAGGAGGCAGGAGAGGCAAGCGGUACUCAGUGGGUAGGGGUAAAAUCCGUUGAUCCAUUGAAGACCACCAGUGGCGAAGGCGGCUUGCCAGAAUGCGCUCGACGGUGAGGGAUGAAAGCUGGGGGAGCAAACCGG
rnacentral:rRNA from 1 species